AUACGGGGGAUGCGAGCGUUAUCCGGAUUCAUUGGGUUUAAAGGGUGCGUAGGCGGCUUUGCAAGUCAGCGGUGAAAGGCCCGGGCUCAACCCGGAAAGUGCCGUUGAUACUGUGAGGCUGGAAUGCGGAUGCUGUGGGAGGAAUGAGUGGUGUAGCGGUGAAAUGCAUAGAUAUCACUCAGAACACCGAUUGCGAAGGCAUCUCACAAAUCCGCAAUUGACGCUGAGGCACGAAAGCGUGGGGAUC
rnacentral:rRNA from 1 species